UGUGAAUGUGAAUUUUUAAACCAGGGUAGUAAUAGUUAAGUUCUUGAAACCCAAAGAAUUUGGCGGUAUUUUAGUCCUUUCAGAGGAAUCUGUCCCAUAAUCGACAACCCACGAGAUAAUUUACUUAUUCUUGUAUUUCAGUUUGUAUACCUCCGUCAUAAGAAGAUCUUUUUAGAGAUUAAAUUUUCUUAAUAUACUAAAUAUAGGAUGUCAGGUCAAGGUGCAAUUUAUGAAUAAGUGGAGAUGGAUUACAAUAAAUUUAUUUAAAUGGAUUAAAUUGAUUAAUUUUUUAUGAAGGUGGAUUUGAUAGUAAUUUUAAUUAUUUAUUAUUAUGAUUUUGGCUCUAAAAUAUGC
rnacentral:rRNA from 1 species